ensembl:rRNA 5S_rRNA 5S ribosomal RNA
GUUUACGAAAAGAUGUGCAAACAUGAUCAGCAGCCAAUCCCGUCUGAUCUCGGAAGCUAAGCAGGGUCGGGCCUGAUUAGUACUUGAAUAGGAGACCACCUAGGAAGACCAGGUGCUGUAGGCG